rnacentral:snoRNA from 1 species
AACUAUGCAUAGUGAAGCAGUAUAUUUGGAGUAGGAAUCUGAUUGAUCUCUCUGGAAUAAAACAAGAUAAACAAACAAAAUGGAC